rnacentral:lncRNA from 1 species
ACAAUCAAGCCUCAGAUCCACCUCGAAAGCCGAAUAUCUCGCAGGAAGCGCAGAUCGGGCAUGCCAACUCCACUGCGCCUCCGCGUCGAACCACCAACCGGCGCACCGUCCGCCCAUUGCAGACCCCGACGGCCAGCCCCGUCGCCGGAGCGGACAGAUCGGGAUCGCCCCGAUCUGAGCCUCCGAGACCGCUCCUGGACGGCUGUCGCAACAGCCGAG